rnacentral:rRNA from 1 species
GGGUGAGUAACACGUGGGCAACCUGCCCAAAAGAGGGGGAUAACACUUGGAAACAGGUGCUAAUACCGCAUAACCAUAGUUACCGCAUGGUAACUAUGUAAAAGGUGGCUAUGCUACCGCUUUUGGAUGGGCCCGCGACGCAUUAGCUAGUUGGUGGGGUAAAGGCUUACCAAGGCAAUGAUGCGUAGCCGAACUGAGAGGUUGAUCGGCCACAUUGGGACUGAGACACGGCCCAAACUCCUACGGGAGGCAGCAGUAGGGAAUCUUCCACAAUGGGCGAAAGCCUGAUGAAGCAACGCCGCGUGGGUGAAGAAGGUCUUCGGAUCGUAAAACCCUGUUGUUAGAGAAGAAAGUGCGUGAGAGUAACUGUUCACGUUUCGACGGUAUCUAACCAGAAAGCCACGGCUAACUACGUGCCAGCAGCCGCGGUAAUACGUAGGUGGCAAGCGUUAUCCGGAUUUAUUGGGCGUAAAGAGAACGCAGGCGGUCUUUUAAGUCUGAUGUGAAAGCCUUCGGCUUAACCGGAGUAGUGCAUUGGAAACUGGGAGACUUGAGUGCAGAAGAGGAGAGUGGAACUCCAUGUGUAGCGGUGAAAUGCGUAGAUAUAUGGAAGAACACCAGUGGCGAAAGCGGCUCUCUGGUCUGUAACUGACGCUGAGGUUCGAAAGCGUGGGUAGCAAACAGGAUUAGAUACCCUGGUAGUCCACGCCGUAAACGAU